GAUGAACGCUGGCGGCGUGCUUAACACAUGCAAGUCGAACGAGAAUCAAUGGAUCAAGACUUCGGUCAAGUGAAGUUGAGGACAGUGGCGGACGGGUGAGUAACGCGUGAGGAACCUGCCUCGGAGUGGGGAAUAACAGUUGGAAACAGCUGCUAAUACCGCAUAAUGCAUACGGAUCGCAUGGUCUGUAUGCCAAAGAUUUAUCGCUCUGAGAUGGCCUCGCGUCUGAUUAGCUAGUUGGCGGGGUAACGGCCCACCAAGGCGACGAUCAGUAGCCGGACUGAGAGGUUGGCCGGCCACAUUGGGACUGAGGCACGGCCCAGACUCCUACGGGAGGCAGCAGUGGGGAAUAUUGGGCAAUGGGCGCAAGCCUGACCCAGCAACGCCGCGUGAAGGAAGAAGGCUUUCGGGUUGUAAACUUCUUUUGUCAGGGACGAACAAAUGACGGUACCUGACGAAUAAGCCACGGCUAACUACGUGCCAGCAGCCGCCGUAACAC
rnacentral:rRNA from 1 species